UUUUGAAUAAGUUAUCUUAAGUUUGGUCUGGUUAGGCCUAUUUACCCAUGAUCUGGUUAGGCCUAUUUACCCAAAUCGAAUAUGUUUUGAUCAUAUAAUUUAGGGAUAAUUAGUGAAAACCCCCAAUUCUUUUACUUAUAUUAUGCUGGAUCUAGUCCCUUUCGUAUUAUUAGUCAUACCACCCUCACUUGCCACUUAAGAUUAAUAUUUUAAUAAAAUCUUUUACGAUAAGACUAUUUUACCCCAAAAUUAUAAUUUAUAUUAUUUCAGAUUUAUUAUUUUCAAACUGCCAAACCCUAUCACGUUCCAAUUGUUUUCUUCUUCUUCUUCUUCUCUCUCUUUUCUUUCUACGCCGUCAUCUCUCCCCUUGCAUCUCAGCCCCGUCGCUGCCAUCUCCCCCUUCCACCUCAGCUCCGAUGCCGCCAAGUUCUCCCUUCGUUUGCCGCCGCCUCUCUACUGCCGAAGCCGCUCCUCACGCCCUGAUGGUGAAAAAUUCAGUCCAUCUACCCAACACUCCGAUGAUGAAACAUUCUCAAAAAAAUCUCCUCUUCAUCGCCGGAUCUGGAGAUCUCGGUGUCGUUGUCGUUGCCGCCAUUGCUAUAAUUUUCGAUAUAAUUGUAUAAGACAAGAACAAGAACUCGUAAAUCCCUAUCUACCUCUACUCAUCGUCUUCGCAGCCGGAUCUGGCUAUUCAACCGCCGCCGCAUCUUGCCCCUUCCACCUCUGCCCCACCGCCGUCUUCUUAUUAAUUUUUUUUUGUGAUGCUUUUGAUGUUGAGUAUUUUUC
rnacentral:lncRNA from 1 species